GCACUGAACAAGCUAGAACUCAUUCUAUCUAAGAAUGGACCAUUGGUUGGGUCUAUAAAGAAGCUCAGGUGUCCAGUGGGAGCACUGAACAAGCUAGAACUCAGAACUAAAAGAAUCUGUCCCUCAUCAUCAAAUCUUCUUCCUUUCUCUGCUGCUGCCUCUUCUUAUCUCCCUCUCUUUUAAGUUUAAUGGCAUUCCACUUCCAGAACAACGUGCUGGUGUGCUCUCCACUGGAAUGCGAAACGGCAGGGGAAAUGCUUUCUUCCAUGGAGAAAGCAAGAGCAGAAGGUGCAGACCUUGUCGAACUUCGCAUCGAUUCCAUGACAUUCUCUCACAUUUCUCAGGUCCACAAACUCAUUCAACUAAGAACUCUCCCUGCUAUUGUUUCUUUCAGGCCGUAUUCAUGGAAGAACUCGAGCAGUGGGGACAGCAACAUCAACACUUGUCUGCAAGUAAUGAGAUUGGCUAUCGACCUAAAUGUUGAAUUUGUCGAAAUGGACUAUGAGGUGGCUUCUGAUGUCAAUAUGGCUGAAUAUGUAUACAACAGAACCAAUAGCAAGUUAAUUGUUUCCAGCUAUGUGAAUGGUGGGAAACCUUCCAUGGAGAAACUUGGUAAUCUGAUUGCUUGUUUGCAGUCCACAGGAGCAGAUGUGGUUAAGCUAGUGAUCAAUGUGCAUUAUAUCACAGAUUUGGCUUCUGUUUUUAAGAUGCUUGCUCAUUGCCAGGUGCCAUUGAUUGCUCUUGCAGUGGGCAGUAGAGGGCUUCUAAGCCAGCUGUUGGGUCCAAAAUUUGGUGGGUUUCUGGUGUACGGAUCUUUGGGAGACAAGACAAUUCCAGGCAUGCCAACUCUGUUCAGUCUUAGGCAUGUUUAUAAGCUUGAAUAUAUAAAUGCAGAAACAAAAGUUUUUGGUCUAAUUUCAAAUCCAGUUGGCCACAGUAAAGGUCCUAUUCUGCAUAACCCUGCCUUUAGACACACAGGAUAUAAUGGAAUUUACGUUCCCAUGCAAGUGGACGAUAUCAAAGAAUUCUUUAGAACCUUUACAAGCACUGACUUCGCCGGUUUUAGUGUUGGAAUCCCACACAAGGAAGCAGCGGUUGGCUGCUGCGAUGAAGUCCAUCCACUGGCCAAGUCCAUAGGAGCAGUAAAUACUAUAGUAAGGAGACCUACUGAUGGGAAGCUAGUUGGCUAUAAUACAGAUUGUGAGGCUUCUAUUAGUGCAAUAGAGGAUGCACUAAGAGAAAGACGGGCUACCAACAGAGGAGCAUCAGAUGCUUCACCUCUAGCUGGGAAAACUUUGGUGUUGGUUGGGGCAGGAGGUGCAGGGAGAGCACUUGCUUUUGGUGCCAAAAGUAGAGGGGCUCAAGUCUUUAUUUUCAACCGUAAUUAUGAGAGAGCAAAGGCUCUUGCACAUGCAGUUGCAGGAAAAGCACUGCCAUACGAAAAUCUGGAGAGAUUCCGCACAGAAAAUGUGAUGAUUCUUGCAAAUGCUUCUGCAGUUGGAAUGGAACCUAAUUCAGACCAAACUCCUGUUUCAAAGGUUCUUUCUAUAUCUGUCUCUCGCUCUGGCAGUGUUGGUUUACACCCCCAUAAAUACAAGGCUUUUGCAAGAGGCUAAGGAGGUUGGUGCAAUCGUGGUGAGCGGCGUUGAGAUGUUCAUCAGGCAGGCCCUUGGUCAAUUCAGACUGUUCACUGGUGGCUUAGCUCCUGAGGCAUUCAUGCGCAAGCUGGUCUUGGAACAAUUCUAAUUGUAUGUCCCACCAUGCUCAAUACAAGUAAAAUUUCUUCGCAAUCCUGGUUGCUGCCUUUCUCAAGUCCAGGCCAUAUAGGUUUAAGUUUUUAUAUCAAAUUCUGUAAAUAAAAUCUGUUGAGAAGGAAGCUAGCCAUCUACCUGAGAUGCCUCUGGUAAUCACUAAUGAUAUAGCAGUAAUCUCUUUACCUUCUGUUUACCUGCAA